rnacentral:rRNA from 1 species
CCCUUAGAUGUUCUGGGCCGCACGCGCGCUACACUGAUGAAUUCAACGAGUAUAUAACCUUGACCGACAGGUCUGGGUAAUCUUUUGAAAUUUCAUCGUGAUGGGGCUAGAUUAUUGCAAUUAUUAAUCUUUAACGAGGAAUUCCUAGUAAGCGCAAUUCAUCAGAUUGAGUUGAUUACGUCCCUGCCCUUUGUACACACCGCCCGUCGCUCCUACCGAUUGGAUGAUCCGGUGAAAUCUUCGGACCGCGACAAAGCAGUAUUUCGCGUACCGCAUUGUUGUGGAAAGUUGCUUAAACCUUAUCAUCUAGAGGAAGGAGAAGUCGUAACA